CCUACGGGUGGCAGCAGUAGGGAAUAUUGCUCAAUGGGGGAAACCCUGAAGCAGCAACGCCGCGUGGAGGAUGAAGGUUCUCGGAUUGUUAACUCCUUUUUUUAGAGAAGAUAAUGACGGUAUCCAACGAAUAAGCACCGUCUAAAUCCGUGCCAGAUGCCGCGGUAAUACGGAGGGUGCAAGCGUUACUCGGAAUGACUGGGCGUAAAGGGCGUGUAGGCGGGAUAGCAAGUCAGAUGUUAAAUCCUAUGGCUUAACCAUAGAACUGCAUUUGAAACUGGUAGUCUAGAGUAUGGGAGAGGUAGGUGGAAUGCUUGGUGUAGGGGUAAAAUCCGUAGAGAUCAAGCGGAAUACUGAUUGCGAAGGCAACAUGCUAGAACAUAACUGACGCUGAUGCGCGAAAGCGUGGGGAGCGAACAGGAUUAGAUACCCCUGUAGUC
rnacentral:rRNA from 1 species